GGUUUCUCUCUAGAUGCCCUUGGUUUCUGAUGCCCUUGGGUUUCCUGUCCAGUGACCGUGAGUCUCCAUUCAUGAACAUCUGUCUACUGAGGCAAGGGCCCCUGCCAACUGUUCUCAUGAUUCGCAGCAACAGGAAUGUCACAGGGGUUCAAUAUUGGGAGACAAGGAAGCAACAUGACCACCCACCUUUCUGUCUGUGCAUGAGCUGAAUUUGGUAAAUGCUCUUUGGACUGAGGAGCUGUCAAUGGAGCUUCUACUUAUGCAAAUACGAUCUGUUCACAUAAUGUAUCAUGGGUCUGAGAGGGAUCUAUGGAAUAAUUGAAUGUAUAUACGAUUUCUAAACAAUGAGAUUGCUCUACCCAUCAAUGACUACUGUCAUGAUUCCAUCCGCUGUGCCCCAAAUUCACCUUGCUGCUGUUUCAGGGCUUCACACUGUUAUUCAAAAGAAAAAGAGGACAAGCUAACUUUUAUUUUGCUUUUUUGUAAUUUAGAUUUCUUUUUUUUUCCUUGUAAAAAAAUCUGUCUGUAAUUUAAUUAUGUAAACUAGUGAA